AACCCUGACACAACUAAAUCUACUUCUGCAAUAGUUGUCUCCAUUGUUACUCUUUCCUUUUACCACCAACGUCUCUUUCUUUGAGUUGAAGAAAUGUCUGGGUUUGGCAAUCAGAUUAACCAGGCUAUGGCCGAUGCAACCAGUGCAGCAGAAGACAAAGCAAAGGAAGCACAAAGUGCAACUCAGAAGGGUGCAAGUCAAGUACAGCAGGCUGUAGAGAAAGCUAUUGAUGAGGGUGCUGAAGUUCUGAAGAAAAAAGGGGUUGAAGUCGUUAAUAAAGCCGGCAAAAACAUACCUGGUUUAGGAAAAUGACCUGUCAUCAGCAACAUGAAGCAGGUGUAAAUUAUUACAGUUGAACUACAUCUCUCAAAUUUGUACAAGGAAUUAGUCCAUUUAACCGAAUAAAAUAUCUCAAUAAAUUAAUUGCCA